rnacentral:rRNA from 1 species
GAUGAACGCUAGCGGGAGGCUUAACACAUGCAAGUCGAGGGGCAGCAUAGGGUAGCAAUACUCUGAUGGCGACCGGCAAACGGGUGAGUAACGCGUAUGUAACCUACCCUGUACAGGGGGAUAACCCGGAGAAAUUCGGACUAAUAUCCCAUAACAAUAUCCGGGGGCAUCUUUGGAUAUUUAAAGUUCCGGCGGUACGGGAUGGGCAUGCGUAACAUUAGCUAGUUGGUAAGGUAACGGCUUACCAAGGCUUUGAUGUUUAGGGGUCCUGAGAGGGUGGUCCCCCACACUGGUACUGAGACACGGACCAGACUCCUACGGGAGGCAGCAGUGAGGAAUAUUGGUCAAUGGGCGCAAGCCUGAACCAGCCAUCCCGCGUGCAGGAAGACGGCGCUAUGCGUUGUAAACUGCUUUUCCAGGGAGAGAAACUUGCGCACGUGUUGCGCAAUUGACGGUACCCUGGGAAUAAGCAUCGGCUAACUCCGUGCCAGCAGCCGCGGUAAUCUGU